CCACCGUUCUAAGAUCCUUUGUUGGCAUUGUCUGUUCCGACCCUCAGCGUUCUCCCGCAAGACGCGCUCUUUCAGUCCGCCAUGUACUGGCCACAAGGGGGCAGCAGAGCCUCAUGGAACCUGGUGAGACUUGGCGGGACGGCCUUUCUAUUGGCUCUUAGGUUCCUCCCCGACCCGUCUUCCCCUGUUUCUGGGCGCCCCCCAGGCAGCUGCUGCGGGAAGGUCCUGCUUCCCUCUCUGAGACCUGCUUCUUUGGAGAGGAUCUCUGAAGUGGAGGGACAGAGGCCAAAGUGCCAGGCUUCCAGGCUCUUUCCCAUAACUUGGCACUCAAGUCUCUCCUGCCAGAACUUUCCUGUUUCACCCUUGACCAUGGAUGGACCUGACCUACGUGGGAUUGGGAGAGGGCAGAUCGCAGGCUCAGAAGAGGAUGAUGGCCCGACUGACUGUGUCCUUGGGGCUCUGCUCAGCAGGCUGCCAGACAGAGCUCCGUCCCCAGCCAGGGUCAUGCUGCUUAGAUAAAGGAAAGAAGAAUUUUAAGUCAAGACAAAAACCGUCACCUUGUGUGUGUUUCUUUUUCUUUUUCUUUUUUUCCAGAAAAUAAACAAGCAGAAAACUGUUCUUAAACUUUUCCUGCAGUAAAAGAUAACCCAGUGAAUCCUCAUCUUAACAGUGUCAAGACAGAUUAAGUUUUACUGGAUUGCACCUUUAAGAAAAGGGGUUUAAUCCUUUCCAUCAACUGUCACAUUUUAAAAUCCAAAUUCCUGUUACAUUCACCUUUGUUUUAUGGCUCAGGUGUUUAUCUGCCUUGAAAGCACUUGAAGCAACUAAGAGAUAAGAGGUAUCAUAUGUCUAUUAAGAGGAAAGUAAAAUAUUAACCCCGUUAGCAUUAGGGUAAUUUCUAUUUUGAGCAAGAAAAAUCCUUUGUGGCUAGUGAAUAGUGUUUAUCGUUAGAGAAGCUGGAACAUGACUCUGAAGAGCUGGGGGACAGCAGUGGAGUUUGCUGUUUGCUGUCCUUCUUGCCAGUGUGUUCAGUGUCCUUCCAAUGCUCUUAGGAAAGUCUUCCCCGAGCUUUGUCACUCCCUCCCCUCCCCCAGUAUGGAAUCAAAGGGCUGGCAUUCGGAGUGAGAUAAACUUUCUGGCCGUAUCAUCCUGGGUCAUUUCUGACUGAGUCCAAGGUCCCCUUCUUGCUCCUCUUUCGCUCUGAGUGUGUGGAGCUGGGUGCUGGG
ensembl:lncRNA